CAAAGUUCAACAAUGUCAUCAGUGGCAUACAAAUUAUAAGCCUUUUACCUCUUAAAACCUUGUCCACACUUAAGUAUUUUGUUCACUUUCUCUUUUCUAGGGUACACCACCAACUGUAGUGUAGUUCCCAUUCAUUUCAUAAACCCAAACAUCAAUUUGUAAUUGACCUUACCAAAUAGUGCUCAUGAGGAAUCAUGCAGCUAGGUUAGUAUGCCAUAUCCGUUGCAAACAUCAUAAAAAAUAGCAAGUUUGCAUAACUAGCAAUGCCUUAAGCACCAAAACCAUAUUUUAAGGAUAAAUGUGGUUCUACCAUUUAAAGUUUUGAAAUAUUAACAAAAAAAUUAUGGGCAUAAAUAUCAGUUGAAAACUAAGCAUGCACCCAAAAAGAUCCCAGGAAAGUUGUAACUAAUGAUUGCAUAACAACCAGCAAACAUACUUGGCAAGAUGAACAUGCACAUGCUCACAAGUAAUAAGAGCACAGAAAAUGCUUAGCGCCAAGUGGUCCCUUCAAACUCUGACACAAUCACCCGUUUUCUGCAUUUAAUUCCCCUGUUAACGUGAAAAAUACGACUUAAAGCAAAAAUCCACGAGCACUCGAGCAAAAUGCGCAACAAAACCACAAGAGAAACAAAUUGCAAUCCCUUGCCCCAAGCGAAGAAACCCUAAUUUUAAUGAAUCAAAGCAGAAUUUGCACAAAUUGAACAUUGCACACCAGUUCUAGGGUUUCCUAAGAAGAGGGAAAUAAACCCAAAAAUUGGAGCAAUAAUCACCUGAAUUACAGAAUUGGGAAGC
rnacentral:misc_RNA from 1 species